ACGGGUGAGUAACGCGUGGGAAUCUACCCAGUUCUACGGAACAACACAGGGAAACUUGUGCUAAUACCGUAUACGCCCUACGGGGGAAAGAUUUAUCGGAAUUGGAUGAGCCCGCGUUGGAUUAGCUAGUUGGUGAGGUAAAAGCUCACCAAGGCGACGAUCCAUAGCUGGUCUGAGAGGAUGAUCAGCCACACUGGGACUGAGACACGGCCCAGACUCCUACGGGAGGCAGCAGUGGGGAAUAUUGGACAAUGGGCGCAAGCCUGAUCCAGCCAUGCCGCGUGAGUGAUGAAGGCCUUAGGGUUGUAAAGCUCUUUCAGUGGGGACGAUAAUGACGGUACCCACAGAAGAAGCCCCGGCUAACUUCGUGCCAGCAGCCGCGGUAAUACGAAGGGGGCUAGCGUUGUUCGGAUUUACUGGGCGUAAAGCGCACGUAGGCGGAUCGUUAAGUCGGGGGUGAAAUCCUGGAGCUCAACUCCAGAACUGCCUUCGAUACUGGCGAUCUUGAGUCCGGAAGAGGUGAGUGGAACUCCUAGUGUAGAGGUGGAAUUCGUAGA
rnacentral:rRNA from 1 species